rnacentral:sRNA from 1 species
AUAAAGAAGGCGCCCGUGAGGCGCCGACUGCGGUCUAGUCUCGGGAGGACGCGGUUUCCGGCGCGACAUAUUGUUGCAGCCCCGAACAAAGUCUUCGGUGUGAAAUCCAGGCACGCAACUUCAUGAUGCAAGGCGAAAGCCUUGCAUUUUUUU